rnacentral:rRNA from 1 species
AGGCUUUGAAGUGUGGACGCCAGUCUGCAUGGAGCCGACCUUGAAAUACCACCCUUUAAUGUUUGAUGUUCUAACGUUGACCCGUGAUCCGGGUUGCGGACAGUGUCUGGUGGGUAGUUUGACUGGGGCGGUCUCCUCCUAAAGAGUAACGGAGGAGCACGAAGGUUGGCUAAUCCUGGUCGGACAUCAGGAGGUUAGUGCAAUGGCAUAAGCCAGCUUGACUGCGAGCGUGACGGCGCGAGCAGGUGCGAAAGCAGGUCAUAGUGAUCCGGUGGUUCUGAAUGGAAGGGCCAUCGCUCAACGGAUAAAAGGUACUCCGGGGAUAACAGGCUGAUACCGCCCAAGAGUUCAUAUCGACGGCGGUGUUUGGCACCUCGAUGUCGGCUCAUCACAUCCUGGGGCUGAAGUAGGUCCCAAGGGUAUGGCUGUUCGCCAUUUAAAGUGGUACGCGAGCUGGGUUUAGAACGUCGUGAGACAGUUCGGUCCCUAUCUGCCGUGGGCGCUGGAGAACUGAGGGGGGCUGCUCCUAGUACGAGAGGACCGGAGUGGACGCAUCACUGGUGUUCGGGUUGUCAUGCCAAUGGCACU